CAGGCAGAAAAUAGCUGCUUCCAGAAAACAGUUUGUCAUUUAACGGCACUGUAAUAGAAAUCAUGCUCUCUCCCUUUAUCUUCUAUAACAAAAUCAAAUGUUCCACAAAUAUUUUUGCUAAUAUAGAAGAUGUUCACAUAUUAUGGAAAAAAGAGCAUGAAAGAUUCUAGAAUAUGAUUACACUGAUGUCUAGAGACCAAGAAAACUACUUCACCUGAACACUGUUAACAUAUGUGGCAUUACUGAGUUUAAAGAUUCCUUGCUGCUCCAGGGGAAGAACAGAAGAGGAGUGAGAGAACAACUGAGUACUGGUUAGUUAACAGCUGGGUUUAAGCCUUGACAGUCCUGGUUGUCCCUCUUUUCCACCUCACUUGAGUCAGGGCCCUCUAGUACUGGUCAUAGGAUUCUCCACUUCUUUUUCGUAGAAACAGAUUAAAAUUCAUUCCCAUAGGAUCAGGAGCAAAAUCAGCCCUUCCAAUCUGUCUGGGAAACUGACCACUGGAGACUGGAGCAGCAACUUUCCUGGAAGAACACCCAUCUGCAAUUGUUUUCCUUUGCUGUUCAAGUCCUUGUGCCUCUAGGUCAAGCUUCCACAGCCCUCAAUAUGAUUUGUCUGAAGUUUCAGUGGCAGCUUCUCACACCACAGACACAGUGAGAAUGGAACAGACAUGAGUAUUGAGAAGGCGAACACUUGGGUCUGCCUGGGCAGGUGCAGCUUGACAUGCGUUUGCAGUGCUCACGAUCCAGUCUGGCAGGGCAUAUGCUGGCCAUGACUCAGGAGCCAUGUGGCUGCAUGAGCACUGAGCCUCCUGAGAGGUGGGAUUCAGUUUUUGGGACAAACUAGACUGUGAAAAUAGUGCUGUGAAUUUUCUGGAUUGGUACUGGCAUAUACAGCCACUUCAUAUGGCAAGCAAAAGAGAUGUUGUUUGCUUAUACUCCUCUGUUUAAAUGUGUAUUAUUCUUGUUCUGUGGUGAUAUUUUAUAUCCCUUCAUAUUUGUGUAUUGACUGAACUUCUGUAUUUUGUGAUUGUCAGGACUCUUGCUAUCUAAAUGAGGUUAAAUUGCAAUUAAACACAUAGAAAAUCCAGAACAGGGGUGGUGUUGAGAACUAUCACUGAGCUGAGGAGGUCAUCACACAAUUUAUUUCUGAACAAUCUUUUGUUUUAUAUGCUUAUAAAUACAGCCAUCCAACUCACAGAAAAUACAUGGUUUAAAAGUUUUAAGGCUUUUCCAGCGAAGAAAAGAAAAGAAAAAAAGAAAA